rnacentral:rRNA from 1 species
UACGUAGGGGGCUAGCGUUGUCCGGAUUUAUUGGGCGUAAAGAGCGUGUAGGCGGCCAAGUAGGUCCGUUGUGAAAACUCGAGGCUUAACCUCGAGAUGUCAUCGGAAACCAGUUGGCUAGAGUCCGGAAGAGGAAAGUGGAAUUCCUGGUGUAGCGGUGAAAUGCGCAGAUAUCAGGAAGAACACCAAUGGCGAAAGCAGCUUUCUGGGACGGUACUGACGCUGAGACGCGAAAGCGUGGGGAGCGAACAGG